rnacentral:rRNA from 1 species
GACGAACGCUGGCGGCGUGCUUAACACAUGCAAGUCGAACGGAAAGGCCCUGCUUUUGUGGGUUGCUCGUGUGGCGAACGGGUGAGUAUCACGUGAGUAACCUGCCCCUGUCUUUGGGAUAUCUUCUGGAAACUGGGGCUAAUAUCGGAUAGGAUCUCCUGAUGCAUGGUGUUGGUUGGAAAGUUUCGGCGGUUCGGGAUGGUCUCGCUGCUUACCAGCUUGUUGGGGGGGUAGUGGCUUCCCAGGGCUUUGACGGGUAGCCGGCCUGGGAGGGUGACCGGCCACAUUGGGACUAAGAUAGGGACCAGAAUGCAACGGGAGGCAGCAGUGGGGAAUAUUACACAAUGGGGGGAAGCCAGAUGCGAAAACGCCGGGUGCGGGAUGACGGCCUACGGGUUGUAAACCAAUUUGGCAUGUGACGAGGCGUGAGUGACGGUAAUGGGUAAAGAAGCACCGGCUAACUACGUG